UAUGCAGGCGGACUUUUAAGUCGGGGGUGAAAUCCCGAGGCUCAACCUCGGAACUGCCUUCGAUACUGGAAGUCUUGAGUCCGGGAGAGGUGAGUGGAACUCCGAGUGUAGAGGUGAAAUUCGUAGAUAUUCGGAAGAACACCAGUGGCGAAGGCGGCUCACUGGCCCGGUACUGACGCUGAGAUACGAAAGCGUGGGGAGCAAACA
rnacentral:rRNA from 1 species